UACGGAGGAUGCAAGCGUUAUCCGGAAUAAUUGGGCGUAAAGCGUUCGUAGGUGGUGAUGUAAGUCUGCUGUUAAAGCGUGUAGCUUAACUACAUAUAGGCGGUGGAAACUACAUGACUAGAGUGCGUUCGGGGCAGAGGGAAUUCCUGGUGUAGCGGUGAAAUGCGUAGAUAUCAGGAAGAACACCGGUGGCGAAAGCGCUCUGCUAGGCCGUAACUGACACUGAGGGACGAAAGCUAGGGG
rnacentral:rRNA from 1 species